ACAGUGCUACAGCCUAGGU
rnacentral:misc_RNA from 1 species